UCUCACACCACAACGCUUGCUUCGGUGUCUGAGCUGCGGAUCGCGAGUAUCUUUAUAGUAAGGAUCUCACCGAUUUCAUGUGAAGCCUAUUUUUUGGUCGGAUGCAGUUUACUUCUCGAGACGAGCAGUUGUUUCUAUUGCAAUACAUAUGUUUAUAUCUUCUCGUUCGGUAGUUUGAGAACUGAGGAGAACGAGGUCCACUGUAAUAGAUAUUGUGUGUCGAGUAAUUUAGGUAUGUGUUUAUUCUUAAAAGCUCGUUUCUAAUUUCUUGAAAGGUUGUGUUAAUAUCUGAACUUUUAAUCCUUUUGUUUAAUCCACGCACGUGGCGUGCUAAUAUGUUGUGCUCAUGAGCACGUGCUAGCAGCGUGACUCUCCUCAUUCACCGAGAGAGGUUGUUUGCAGUUGCAGUGGACUACAUCGAGAUUCCAUUUAACCCUAACCAACUUGCUGAACAGAUGAAUGUAUUUAAACCUAAAGGGGUAGCUCACCCAAACAUGAAAAUUAUGACUUAUCGUUUCAAACAUUGAGUUUCUUCUGUUAAAAGAAAAAUGAUAUUUUGUAGAUAUUUUUACUUCUAUAGCAAGUAAAAGAAACAAUUGAGGUAAUUUUUUUUUUAUUGUUUUAUAUUCGCUCAUUCUGACUACUUUAAUAUAAUUUUAGAUAUGUAUUCUUUGCAAAUUCUGAAUAGAGAAAUUAUAUUAGCAGCCGAUUACUGUCAAAGUACUCGGUCAAAUACAGUCAAAUAAAUGGUGCUAAUAUUGUUUUGAAAUCAUUAUUACAUGAGUUUCAGAUCGAAUAUUUAGAGUAGCGUGGUAAACCAUCUGGGGACUGUUAAAAUGAACGUAUGUGCAAAUAUAAAACCUACUUUACCUUAAAGAAAUACUGUGGAAGUCAACAGUUGCAUGAUUUCAGCUUUCUUCAAAAUUCAUCUUGUGUUCAACAAGAAAUUGGAACUACUUGACAGUUAGUAAAAUGAGAAAUGUUUGGGUUAACUAUUCCUUAAGUGUCUUUGAUCUCAGAGUUAUAAUUUAUUAUUAUGACAUGCAUUGGAACAGGCUGAGGUUUGUAUUUUUUACAGUGUGUUAACUUUAAUGCCAAGUGGUUUUAAUUCCGUAAUUUAUUUUUUUUUACUUUGUUUGUCAAUGUAUCUGUUUGUAUAUCAGAACAAUUCUGUAUGUCUUGCUGUAUAUAAUAAAGAAAAUUGAUCUCUA